GACGAACGCUGGCGGCGUGCCUAAUACAUGCAAGUAGAACGCAGUUGCGAACGGGUGAGUAACGCGUAGGUAACUGCCUCAUAGGGGGGGGUAAAUAUUGGAAAAGAUAGCCAAAACCGCAUACUGUGAGAUGGACCUGCGUUGUAUUAGCGAGUUGGGGAGGUAAAGGCUCACCAAGGGGACGAUACAUAGCCGACCUGAGAGGGUGAUCGGCCCACCUUGGGCUGGGGCACGGCCCAGACUCCUACGGGAGGCAGCAGUAGGGAAUCUUCGGCAAUGGACGGAAAUCUGACCGAGCAACGCCGCGUGAGUGAAGAAGGUUUUCGGAUCGUAAAGCUCUGUUAUGAGAGAAGCGUUAACUAACCAAAAAGGGACGGCUAACUACGUGCCAGCAGCCGCGGUAAUUC
rnacentral:rRNA from 1 species